CUGGCUCAGGACGAACGCUGGCGGCGUGCUUAACACAUGCAAGUCGAGCGAUGAAGCUUCCUUUGGGAAGUGGAUUAGCGGCGGACGGGUGAGUAACACGUGGGCAACCUGCCUCAAAG
rnacentral:rRNA from 1 species